rfam:Drosophila grimshawi strain TSC#15287-2541.00 scaffold_14906 genomic scaffold, whole genome shotgun sequence.
CUCAAUUACCAUGACAUAGUCGUACGGUGAAUGUUGUGUUUGGAGUCCAAUGUUAACUGUAAGACUGUGUCUUGGUGGUUGCC